AGAGUUUGAUCAUGGCUCAGGACGAACGCUGGCGGCGUGCUUAACACAUGCAAGUCGAACGGAAAGGCCCCUUCGGGGGUACUCGAGUGGCGAACGGGUGAGUAACACGUGGGUGAUCUGCCCUGCACUUUGGGAUAAGCCUGGGAAACUGGGUCUAAUACCGAAUAGGACCGCAUGCUUCAUGGUGUGUGGUGGAAAGCUUUUGCGGUGUGGGAUGGGCCCGCGGCCUAUCAGCUUGUUGGUGGGGUAAUGGCCUACCAAGGCGACGACGGGUAGCCGGCCUGAGAGGGUGUCCGGCCACACUGGGACUGAGAUACGGCCCAGACUCCUACGGGAGGCAGCAGUGGGGAAUAUUGCACAAUGGGCGCAAGCCUGAUGCAGCGACGCCGCGUGGGGGAUGACGGCCUUCGGGUUGUAAACCUCUUUCAGUAUCGGCGAAGCUCCAGGAUUUUUCUUGGGGUGACGGUAGGUACAGAAGAAGCACCGGCCAACUACGUGCCAGCAGCCGCGGUAAUACGUAGGGUGCGAGCGUUGUCCGGAAUUACUGGGCGUAAAGAGCUCGUAGGUGGUUUGUCACGUUGUCUGUGAAAACUCACAGCUUAACUGUGGGCGUGCGGGCGGUACGGGCAGACUGGAGUACUGUAGGGGAGACUGGAAUUCCUGGUGUAGCGGUGGAAUGCGCAGAUAUCAGGAGGAACACCGGUGGCGAAGGCGGGUCUCCGGGCAGUAACUGACGCUGAGGAGCGAAAGCGUGGGGAGCGAACAGGAUUAGAUACCCUGGUAGUCCAA
rnacentral:rRNA from 1 species